UGUCUUGUGAUCAUGGAGAUACUUGGCGCCUUCGAGGGCAGGCAGAGCCUACCAGAUGAUUUGGAUGGCGAUUCGAUAU
rnacentral:rRNA from 1 species